UAGGGAAUCUUCCGCAAUGGGCGAAAGCCUGACGGAGCAACGCCGCGUGAGUGAUGAAGGUCUUCGGAUCGUAAAACUCUGUUUUUAGGGAAGAACAAAUGUGUAAGUAACUAUGCACAUCUUGACGGUACCUAAUCAGAAAGCCACCGCUAACUACGUGCCAGCAGCCGCGGUAAUACGUAGGUGGCAAGCGUUAUCCGGAAUUAUUGGGCGUAAAGCGCGCGUAGGCGGUUUUUUAAGUCUGAUGUGAAAGCCCACGGCUCAACCGUGGAGGGUCAUUGGAAACUGGAAAACUUGAGUGCAGAAGAGGAAAGUGGAAUUCCAUGUGUAGCGGUGAAAUGCGCAGAGAUAUGGAGGAACACCAGUGGCGAAGGCGACUUUCUGGUCUGUAACUGACGCUGAUGUGCGAAAGCGUGGGGAUCAAACAGG
rnacentral:rRNA from 1 species